CAGCAGCCGCGGUAAUACAGAGGAUGCAAGCGUUAUCCGGAAUGAUUGGGUGUAAAGCGUCUGUAGGUGGCUUUUCAAGUCCGCCAUCAAAUCCCUGGGCUCAACCCUGGACAGGCAGUGGAAACUACCAAGCUGGAGUACGGUAGGGGCAGAGGGAAUUUCCGGUGGAGAGGUGAAAUGCGUUGAGAUUGGAAAGAACACCAACGGUGAAAGCGCUCUGCUGGGCCGACACUGACACUGAGAGACGAAAUCUAGGGGAGCAAAUGGGAUUAGAUACCCCAGUAGUCCCUGUCUCUUAUAC
rnacentral:rRNA from 1 species